GAUUAAGUUAUUAAGGGCGCACGGUGGAUGCCUUGGCACUAGAAGCCGAUGAAGGACGUUACUAACGACGAUAUGCUUUGGGGAGCUGUAAGUAAGCUUUGAUCCAGAGAUUUCCGAAUGGGGAAACCCAGCAUGAGUUAUGUCAUGUUAUCGAUAUGUGAAUACAUAGCAUAUCAGAAGGCACACCCGGAGAACUGAAACAUCUUAGUACCCGGAGGAAGAGAAAGAAAAUUCGAUUCCCUUAGUAGCGGCGAGCGAAACGGGAAGAGCCCAAACCAACAAGCUUGCUUGUUGGGGUUGUAGGACACUCUAUACGGAGUUACAAAGGACGACAUUAGACGAAUCAUCUGGAAAGAUGAAUCAAAGAAGGUAAUAAUCCUGUAGUCGAAAAUGUUGUCUCUCUUGAGUGGAUCCUGAGUACGACGGAGCACGUGAAAUUCCGUCGGAAUCUGGGAGGACCAUCUCCUAAGGCUAAAUACUCUCUAGUGACCGAUAGUGAACCAGUACCGUGAGGGAAAGGUGAAAAGCACCCCGGAAGGGGAGUGAAAUAGAACCUGAAACCGUGUGCUUACAAGUAGUCAGAGCCCGUUAAUGGGUGAUGGCGUGCCUUUUGUAGAAUGAACCGGCGAGUUACGAUUUGAUGCAAGGUUAAGCAGUAAAUGUGGAGCCGUAGCGAAAGCGAGUCUGAAUAGGGCGUUUAGUAUUUGGUCGUAG
rnacentral:rRNA from 1 species